rnacentral:tRNA from 2 species
GCCGGAGUGGCGAAACUGGCAGACGCAGCAGACUCAAAAUCUGCCGGCUCUUAUGGAGUCGUGUGGGUUCAAUUCCCUCCUCCGGCA